rnacentral:rRNA from 1 species
GAUGAACGCUGGCGGCGUGCCUAAUACAUGCAAGUCGAGCGAACGGACGAGAAGCUUGCUUCUCUGAUGUUAGCGGCGGACGGGUGAGUAACACGUGGAUAACCUACCUAUAAGACUGGGAUAACUUCGGGAAACCGUAGCUAAUACCGGAUAAUAUUUUGAACCGCAUGGUUCAAAAGUGAAAGACGGUCUUGCUGUCACUUAUAGAUGGAUCCGCGCUGCAUUAGCUAGUUGGUAAGGUAACGGCUUACCAAGGCAACGAUGCAUAGCCGACCUGAGAGGGUGAUCGGCCACACUGGAACUGAGACACGGUCCAGACUCCUACGGGAGGCAGCAGUAGGGAAUCCUCCGCAAUGGGCGAAAGCCUGACGGAGCAACGCCGCGUGAGUGAUGAAGGUCUUCGGAUCGUAAAACUCUGUUAUUAGUGAAGAACAUAUGUGUAAGUAACUGUGCACAUCUUGACGGUACCUAAUCAGAAAGCCACGGCUAACUACGUG